rnacentral:misc_RNA from 1 species
GAUGAAGAACGUAGCAAAAUGCGAUACUUGGUGUGAAUUGCAGAAUCCCGUGAACCAUCGAGUUUUUGAACGCAAGUUGCGCCCGAGGCCUUUUGGCCGAGGGCACGUCUGCCUGGGCGUCACGCAUCGCGUCGCCCCCCACAAUUCUCCGUAAAGGGAACGUGUGUUUUGGGGGCGGAUAUUGGUCUCCCGUGCUCAUGGCGUGGUUGGCCGAAAUAGGAGUCCUUUCGAUGGACGCACGAACUAGUGGUGGUCGUAAAAACCCUCGUCUUUUGUUUCGUGCUGUUGCUCGCAAGGUAAACUCUUUAAAAACCCCAAUGUGUCGUCUCUUGACGACGCUUCGACCGCGACCCCAGGUCAGGCGGGACUACCCGCUGAGUUUAAGCAUAUCAAUAAGCGGAGGA